UCUUAUUAUUUUGAGAUUGACAUAUUUUUUGGAACCUCUGAAGCAUCAAUAUACUUUUACUUGUAUAAUCCUUAAAAGUAACAUAUUUUACAUUUUGUGUUGUUACUUUGUGCAUAUUUUGUUGUGUGUGUACGUAUAACAUAAUCCGUCAGAUUUUGAUUCAAAAUUGAUUAAAAAAAUCUCUUGUGACCCGCCCCCAAUUUGCUGUGCACAUUCAUGCACGUCUUUCUCUCUCUCUCUCUGAAGCUAAAAACAAUUGGUUUUGUUUUGUUUAAUGCAACUUUUACAUUCUUCAUCCACCCGGGCGCCAUUUAUUUUAUAUCCAUUUAUAUUACAGGAGAGAGAGAGAGAAAGAAACACGAGAUGAAAACUAUUUCGGAGUCUAAUGUACCAUUCAGCCCGGUACUUGAACGUGGCAUAAUGUGAGGGCAAAACAACCCUAGCCGGGAUGUUAUGUCGGAUAUUAUUGUUGCUUAAAGUUGCAUUCAUUUCAGCGGAGAGCGACCAGGUUAAUGUUAUAUUACUUUGGUGCGGAAGAGACAUUAAAAGCAAUUUUAUUUUAUAGAAAACGGCAGCCAUGCCAUGUCAUUCCGCUCCGUUAAUGUUAAUAGUAACUACAAUAGUAAUAGUGGACUGGUAAUAAUAAUAAUAAAAGUAAUAGUCGCUCCGGCCAGCAGCCUGCUCUCUCCCUCCUUCCAUCCAUCCACUGUAAUAAUAAUAUUCUUUAUACAUUAUAUAACAUAUAUAUAUGUAACGUUUAAUAUGGUCAUCCAGCACUUUCUCCCUCCCUCCAUAUCCUCUCAAAGUGUUCAUAUUUCCCCUGAAUUUUUUAAGGUUUACAAAUUUUAAGGUCUCGAUUCACAUUGCUUUCUCUUUGUCUGAGAACUGAGGAGGAAUUCGUGCUGACUGCGUGAAACGCCGUAUUAAAUGUGUCACACCAAGUUUAGAAUAUCUUUGUUGGCAAUAAUAACGCAAUUUGGAGAAAGUUGAGCGAGGGUGAUAGGAGAGAGAAAUAACAGUUGAAGUUGGUCGUGCUGGAUUGGGAAUAUAAUGGGAGAAACAAUGAUGAUGAUGAAUAUAAAGGCCAUCAGAACCUUGCCUACGGUGAACAACUCGUCAAACCGAUGUGACAUGCCAACCUGUACACUGCAGUUCUCAAAUUGAUACAGCAUAAUACUUUUAAAAAAAUAUAUCCAUGAUUUUUUUAACUAAAUAAAUAAUUUUGUUCCAAAAGAA